rnacentral:rRNA from 1 species
CCAGACUCCUACGGGAGGCAGCAGUGGGGGAUAUUGCACAAUGGGGGAAAUCCUGAUGCAGCGACGCCGCGUGGGUGAAGAAGCGCCUCGGCGCGUAAAGCCCUGUCAGCAGGGAAGAAAAUGACGGUACCUGAAGAAGAAGCCCCGGCUAACUACGUGCCAGCAGCCGCGGUAAUACGUAGGGGGCAAGCGUUAUCCGGAUUUACUGGGUGUAAAGGGGGCGCAGACGGCGAUGCAAGCCAGGAGUGAAAGCCCGGGGCCCAACCCCGGGACUGCAUUGGAAACUGGCAGGCUGGAGUGCCGGAGAGGCAGGCGGAAUUCCUAGUGUAGCGGUGAAAUGCGUAGAUAUUAGGAGGAACACCAGUGGCGAAGGCGGCCUGCUGGACGGUGACUGACGCUGAGGCUCGAAAGCGUGGGGAGCAAACAGGAUUAGAUACCCUAGUA